rnacentral:rRNA from 1 species
UACGUAGGGUGCGAGCGUUGUCCGGAAUUAUUGGGCGUAAGGGGCUCGUAGGCGGUCUGUUGCGUCGGGAGUGAAAACUCAGGGCUUAACCCUGAGCCUGCUUCCGAUACGGGCAGACUAGAGGUAUGCAGGGGAGAACGGAAUUCCUGGUGUAGCGGUGAAAUGCGCAGAUAUCAGGAGGAACACCGGUGGCGAAGGCGGUUCUCUGGGCAUUACCUGACGCUGAGGAGCGAAAGUGUGGGGAGCGAACAGG